rnacentral:rRNA from 1 species
UACAGAGGGUGCGAGCGUUAAUCGGAGUAACUGGGCGUAAAGGGCACGUAGGCGGUUAGAUUAGUCUGAUGUGAAAGACCUGGGCUUAACCUGGGAUGUGCAUUGGAAACGGUCUAGCUAGAGUUUGGGAGAGGGAAGUGGAAUUUCCGGUGUAGCGGUGAAAUGCGUAGAGAUCGGAAAGAACACUCGUGGCGAAGGCGGCUUUCUGGCCCAAAACUGACGCUGAGGUGCGAAAGCGUGGGGAGCAAACAGG